rnacentral:rRNA from 1 species
UGAACGCUGGCGGUAGGCCUACCACAUGCAAGUCGAACGGCAGCACAGUAAGAGCUUGCUCUUACGGGUGGCGAGUGGCGGACGGGUGAGGAAUACAUCGGAAUCUACUUUUUCGUGGGGGAUAACGUAGGGAAACUUACGCUAAUACCGCAUACGACCUACGGGUGAAAGCAGGGGAUCUUCGGACCUUGCGCGAUUGAAUGAGCCGAUGUCGGAUUAGCUAGUUGGCGGGGUAAAGGCCCACCAAGGCGACGAUCCGUAGCUAGUCUGAGAGGAUGAUCAGCCACACUGGAACUGAGACACGGUACAGACUCCUACGGGAGGCAGCAGUGGGGAAUAUUGGACAAUGGGCGCAAGCCUGAUCCAGCCAUACCGCGUGGGUGAAGAAGGCCUUCGGGUUGUAAAGCCCUUUUGUUGGGAAAGAAAAGCAGCAGGUUAAUACCCCGCUGUUCUGACGGUACCCAAAGAAUAAGCACCGGCUAACUUCGUG